ensembl:lncRNA ETS2-AS1 ETS2 antisense RNA 1
GGCACAGGGGGUCUUCUCUCUUGGCUUUGGAGCUCCCCAUUCCUCUGUGUCUGUAACAGGGGAGCUUCUUCCUUCUUUCUUCUCCCUUCUUUCUUGCCUGUUAAACUCUCUGCUUCUUAAAACCACUCCAUGUAUGUCCAGGUCAUUUUAUCUAAUUUGGAGACGGAGAACCCUGGUGUUCCUCUGCUCAUCAGAGCCGUCUCACCUGCAAGGGCCAGGAUCCAGCACUAGGGCUGCCCUUUAUGUUCAUGCAGCCUCCACUAGGAAGAUCCUCCUUAGCUGCCACCUGCUGUAAAGGGAUCUAUCUAUCUAUCUGUCUAUCUAUCUAUCUAUCUAUCUUUCUAUCUACCUGUCGAGAGAGAGAGAGGUUUAUUAUAAGGAAUUGACUCAUGUGAUUAUGGAGGCUGAGAAGUUCCACAGUCUGCUGUCUGCAAGCUGGAGACCCAGGAAGGCUGCUGGUGCCGUUCCAGUUUGAUUCUGAAGGCCUGAGAACCAGAACUGAUGCUCAACAUUGGAAUCCCUGCUCUUUCACUGCACACACUGACCACCCACUGCAGGCUGGGGGUCCUAGAGGAUUUCACGUGCUAGGCUGUCCCAAAUAGAGGAGGUCCUGCUACAGCACCGGCACCAUUAGUCCUUUCUGGGCCGUGCUCUGUGAGCCCUUGAGAGGACAAGAAACCAAUGUCAAAGCCAUGGAAUGAUCCCAUUCAAUUCUCAUCAAGGAAUAGAGAAGACAUAAAAUUCAGCAAAUGGAGGAGCCCACUCAACAUGAAGAUGACAAGGAUGAAGACCUUUAUGAUGAUCCAUUCCCACUUACUGAAUAGAUGAAGCUUCUUGGUGAUGUAACAGUCUGUGGAAACUCCCACAGGACAAAUGCAGAAAGGAAGGACCUAGAUCACUGGAUGGUCAACGUUGCCCCUUGCACAGCAGCAAAGGCCUAUACAAAUUUUUUGAGUAGCUUUAUCUAGUGGUUCAGCUACUGGGAAUAACUUGUAAAAUCCCCUGGAUAGUCAACAGCAUUGGGGCUUGCUUUGUAAACAGAGACCUGACCUACUUAAUUCUUCCCAGAGGUUGGAAAAAGAGGCUGGACUCACACAGACAUGAAACCUUGGCUUAAUUGGACACUAAUUACUCAUAAGAGAUCUGUUUACCCGAACUUCCCCUAGACCAAGCUCAGUAUAAAAUGAGAGGAUGCAUAAAGAAGCAAGAUAUUUAGAGGAAAAUGUCACAAAUACAUUUAUCAGUCCCAAAAGUCCUUUUUUUUCCCCAGAAGUGAUGUUGCUAAUUGCACAAAAAUAAACAAUACAGGGGUUGAUAAAUUCCACAUUUAAGGGCUGAGGAUAGUGUCCCUACAUUUCUAAGAAGCUGUAUAUUUGGAAAUGAAUACAAUUGAAAGUAAGGAUAAGUGGCAUUCUAAAGCCAAUUGGAUAACUUGAAUGAACAAGCAGAAUUUACCAUAUUUUGAUAUGUUUCUUUUUGAUUAAAGUAUCUGUAAAGGAAACAAAUUAUAGUAUUGCUAUAGAUUUUAUUACUGAACAAGAAAAAAAGGCUUGAUGUUGUGCAUUUCCUUUUGGCCUUUGGUCUUGGCUGAUAUUGGGCAUCCAAUGAGCUUCUUUGUCUUGAAUGAAGACUUAAGAGGGAGUGAAAAGUAGGAAGAGCAUCAAAACUUCUUUGCAGGAUGUAAUCAAACCACCUACUACUUAUUGUCUUACGAUCCAUUUAUUCAACAAAUGGAACAUCUCAAUUGCUUGAUGCUAUUACAGACACUAGGUAUAGUCUUAGAAAAACAAAUUGCUGUUUUUAUAUAGCUUGUGUUAUGGGUUGAUGUAGUACAGUCAAAAUUAUUUAAAUAAAGGAAGAUGUGAGGAAG